GGAUUGUGGCUCAGUGGUAGAGUAUUCACCUAGCAUGCAUGAGGCACUGGGUUCGAUCCUCAGCACCA
rnacentral:tRNA from 1 species